rnacentral:rRNA from 1 species
UACGUAGGGUGCAGGCGUUAAUCGGAAUUACUGGGCGUAAAGCGUGCGCAGGCGGUUUGCUAAGACAGGUGUGAAAUCCCCGGGCUUAACCUGGGAACUGCGCUUGUAACUGGCAAGCUAGAGUGUGGCAGAGGGGGGUGGAAUUCCAGGUGUAGCAGUGAAAUGCGUAGAGAUCUGGAGGAACACCGAUGGCGAAGGCAGCCCCCUGGGUUAACACUGACGCUCAUGCACGAAAGCGUGGGGAGCAAACAGG